rnacentral:lncRNA from 14 species
GUUUCCUUGUGGAAUGGGAGGUGGUAGGCAGUACUUCCCUUUUCGGGUGGGAAAGUGAGGGUAGCAUUAGCUAUGAAGUCGGUAAUAAUGUUUAAUUUGGCCAGAUACUUGUGUUCGAUUCAGGGAGCAUUUUUUUUUAAGAAUCCUGCAGGAAGCCCUGGGAUUUGUACAGUUGCUUGAAAGACUCAGGACCUGUCUAGUAACAGCAUACAGAACAAGUCACAAUCCCAUAUAGAGAGGAGAAGGGAAGAAGUUAGGAACUGGUGGUCUUACUGAUGAUGUAGUGUUUGGAAAGUAGGUCCUUCCCCAACAUGACCCUUAAACACUACCAUACCUCAAAUCUGAAUAAGGAAAGGCUUUAAAAAUCACAACUACAGGGCCGGAGAGAUGGCUCGAUGGUUAGGAACAUAUCACCGGCGGUGGCUCUUGGCCCGGGGAAUCUGGUCCUGUGAGUCCUGUGGUUAGCUCCCACGGCACUGGCUCCCCACCCUGGCUGCACAUCAAUCACCUGCGUCCCUCAUUACAGGUUCCUGUGCUUUGUUCAGCCCCCAGAUCCUCUGCUUUACAAGGUCUGUGAAGUAGCGACUGGGUCCAGAAGCCUUGGAGCAGGGCAGUAAGCAUCCCUUGUACUGAGGGAAGCUGGCUCCUGGGGGCAUCCAAAAGCCAGUCUGAUUUCUCCCAAGUGAUGCCCACACCCCUCUCUGAACAGGGAGAGGUGGAAAGGUUGGAGGAGCAGAUUCUGAAUCUGAACCAGAAAAAGGAGGAUCUGUUAGUGGACUUGAAGGCUGCUGUCCUGAACCUUCAUGAGCACCUGAAGCAAGAACGGCCAGGAGGAGAGAGGCCCUCUGCAGGCACUUCCGAGUGUACAGUGGCCGAGAGGGAUGCUUCAGAAAGGAAGCUGAACAGAACAAACUCCAUGUCUUUCCUGCCAGCGGUCAAGGAGGAGGCAGAAGAAAGCUCCGUGAAGAGUGACGAUGGACAUAGGAGAACAGAGCUGCCGUCUCUUCUGUGGAAGCACAGCCAGGAUCUGGAGGGGGAUGAGGCGUCCUCUUCCUCUGCAACCAUCGUGCAGGAUGCAGGUGGGAGAAUUAGCACCUGCGACAGUUCCAUGGUGCACAUUAUUGCACCAGACUCAGGAAGCACUGAGCCAGGCCCAGAACCAUCUCCGAGGCUCAGCCGAACCGAAGAGGGUGACACACCUCCCAUUGAGGCUGCACUCCUGGACUUUCCUCGAGAACAAGAAGCUUUGGAGGCCACAGUGGAGAGAAGUAGGCCUCAGCCUGCAGACGUCCUCCGUGUCUGCAAGACCCAGGUGGCCAAGCUGGAACUGUGGCUGCAGCAAGCCAGCGUGGCGUUUGAGCCGGAAACGUUAGACACAGACAUGCAGCAGGUGGUGGAAGAGGAGCUGGCUGGGUGCCAGGCUAUGCUGACAGAGAUUGAGCACAAGGUUGCCUCUCUGUUAGAGACUUGCAAAGACCAGGGCCUGGGAGACUGUGGAACCACUCAACAAGAGGCCGAAGCCCUUUCCUGGAAACUCAAGACUGUGAAGUGCAACUUGGAAAAGGUCCAGAUGAUGCUUCAGGAGAAGUACAGUGAGGACCAGCAGCCCACCACUCUUAAGAAACCGUCAGAGCCCCACGAUGUCCUCCUGCCGGCCAGCUUUUCUGAGCUUGAAUCUGUCAUAACCGAAAGGCCACAGUUCAGCAGACAGAAGGACGUUCCCCAACCACAGAUUCUGGAGUUAAAACCGUUGGAGCAAAAAGAUUUAAUCAAGUUCACAGAGUUGAAUGCUAAGAAAACAUGGCUGCAGUGUUACCCAGAGGAUAAAGAUGCAAAUCGGCAAUCAGCUUCCAGCAGUGAGGUGCCUAGUCCUGGAAACUCAGAUUCAGAAACUUCAGAUUCAGCCUUGCCACCUGAGGGCCAGAGUGGUGACAAAUGGCAGUAUCUUCACCAUGAACUGACAUCAAGACCAAAUCCCCCUGCGCCUCAGCUCGUGGAGCCUCAGGUGGCCAUAACUCUGAGUACUCUGCCCAGUGUGAGUGUGUAUAACUUUAGAUGCCCUACGGCUGACGAACUGCAAGCUUACACCACCCAACUCGAAGAGCUACGGCAAGAAGCAAACACUAUUCAGACACAGGGAAGUAUGACAGAAGAAACAUACAUCAGUUUGGAUAAAAGGCUUACUUUGAACUCAUUCCUGAGCCUCAAGCCGUCGGGCUGCCUGGACCUGUGGACGGGCCGGCCCUGCAGAGG